AAACAAAUAAAUGAAAAAAAAAGUUUAACAAAAGAACAUAUUUUGAAUGUUAGAUGUUCAAAUCGAAGAUUGAAUGUUGAAAAUGAAUGCUACCAAAAGAAAAUUGAAUGUUGAAUUUUGAACCAACUUGACAUCCGUUCGUUUUAAAGAAAAGUUAAUUUCAGAUCGGACACAAUAUGUUGAGAAAAUUAAAGUUUUUGUAUAAAAGAUUUAGAUUAAUAGAUAAAAGAGUUUCAAUAUUUCAACAGAUGAAAAAUAUCUUCAUGGUUAUAGUGUAUCGGGAUUUCAAUUUUCUGUUAAUAAAUUUUGAUAUUGACUAAUAAUUUAAGCAAAAUGUGAGUAAAAUGUAUAACGUCCAAUGUUGAGGAUGAAAAGUAGUUUGGAUACCAAUUAGAACCGAUAAUAAUGUUACACACAUUUAUAUUAUAAUCAUUAAUAAAGCUAAUCAUGCCCCAACAUAAUUAUGUGAUAUUCAUUUGAAAUGUCUAAUAAAAAUGCAAAGAAUAUUGCUUUGUAGAACUCCAA
rnacentral:lncRNA from 1 species